CGAACGGAAAGGCCCUGCUUGCAGGGUACUCGAGUGGCGAACGGGUGAGUAACACGUGGGUGAUCUGCCCUGCACUUCGGGAUAAGCCUGGGAAACUGGGUCUAAUACCGGAUAGGAGCCAUUUUUAGUGUGAUGGUUGGAAAGUUUUUUCGGUGUAGGAUGAGCUCGCGGCCUAUCAGCUUGUUGGUGGGGUAAUGGCCUACCAAGGCGGCGACGGGUAGCCGGCCUGAGAGGGUGGACGGCCACAUUGGGACUGAGAUACGGCCCAGACUCCUACGGGAGGCAGCAGUGGGGAAUAUUGCACAAUGGGCGCAAGCCUGAUGCAGCGACGCCGCGUGGGGGAUGACGGCCUUCGGGUUGUAAACUCCUUUCGCUAGGGACGAAGCUUUUUGUGACGGUACCUAGAUAAGAAGCACCGGCUAACUACGUGCCAGCAGCCGCGGUAAUACGUAGGGUGCGAGCGUUGUCCGGAAUUACUGGGCGUAAAGGGCUCGUAGGUGGUUUGUCGCGUCGUCUGUGAAAUUCCGGGGCUUAACUCCGGGCGUGCAGGCGAUACGGGCAUAACUUGAGUACUGUAGGGGUAACUGGAAUUCCUGGUGUAGCGGUGAAAUGCGCAGAUAUCAGGAGGAACACCGAUGGCGAAGGCAGGUUACUGGGCAGUUACUGACGCUGAGGAGCGAAAGCAUGGGUAGCG
rnacentral:rRNA from 1 species